CACUGACAUUUGCUUCACUGAUUUUCUUCUGACGACCCACCUCUCUACAUCUAAUUUCAGAUCAUGUGGCUGAAGCCUCACUCUGGUGCUAAAGGUUGAGCCAGCGACUGUGGCCUAAGGCAACCACUCCCUCCAUGGUCAGGAGAUGGUUGCAGCAGUUCUGGCUAACACAGUCUCACACAACUGUCCAGAGUAUGAAGGCCUCUGGUUCUAUUCAGCUGCCUCCUCUUUCGGUGAGUAAUUUUUCUAGUUGGUACUUUCAAUAAUACAAGAAAUAUUUAUUUGACUGGUUGAUUGAGUUCUCAGAAUCUUAUAUCUGGAAAGUAUUAUGUCUCCCCCUGACAAUGUACUCAUCCUGAUUAACAGCAUUGUCCUUAUGUGUGUUCAGACCAAACUCUUCCCAUUUCUUAAAAAUUUUUAUUAAUAUAAAGCUUAUUAUUACCAUAAAAACAUUAAAAAAAAAAAAGCUUAUUAUGAACUUAAAGGAG
rnacentral:lncRNA from 1 species